rnacentral:rRNA from 1 species
CACUCUAAGGUGACUGCCGGUGACAAACCGGAGGAAGGUGGGGAUGACGUCAAAUCAUCAUGCCCCUUAUGACCUGGGCUACACACGUGCUACAAUGGACAGAACAAAGGGCUGCGAGACCGCAAGGAUUAGCCAAUCCCAUAAAUCUGUUCUCAGUUCGGAUCGCAGUCUGCAACUCGACUGCGUGAAGCUGGAAUCGCUAGUAAUCGCGGAUCAGCAUGCCGCGGUGAAUACGUUCCCGGGCCUUGUACACAC